rnacentral:rRNA from 1 species
UACAGAGGUGCCAAGCGUUAGGCGGAAUCACUGGGCUUAAAGCGCGCGUAGGCGGAUGUUUAAGUGUCUUGUGAAAUCCCACGGCUCAACCGUGGAACUGCUGGGCAUACUGGACAUCUCGAGGCACUCAGGGGCGAGCGGAACAAGUGGUGGAGCGGUGAAAUGCGUAGAUAUCGAGAGGAACACCAGAGGGGAAGACGGGUUGCUGGGCCGACACUGACGCUGACAGCGCGAAAGCCAGGGGAGCAAACGGG